rnacentral:lncRNA from 1 species
AGUCGUCUUCUUCUCUCGUUCCUAUUUGAAAAAUGUGUUCUUCGAGCGUGGGUCGUUGGGGUCGCAUAAAACACAUGGAAGGGCUAAGAGACAAAGAAUAUUUCGUGGAGCACUCUCAACAAAGACAGUUUCCUGGCAAACACGACCAACCACUACUCGUUUGGCUCCAAUAUAACAAACGUAUCUCCUCCCCCCUUCCCUCCCCCGUUUCCCACACUCUGUGUUCCCCUACGUGCAUCCAUGAAAAACACAGAACUGUGUGAUGAUCAACAACCUCCUUCGAGAAUUGUGUAUACGUGAAAAAAACAACAAAAAAAACAAAACAAAAAGCAAGAACCUUAAGGGUUUUACAAACUGAUGGCUGUGUUACCAGAUACGCUGCUCAAUCAUUAUCGCGCGAAUAUAUAUUUUGCAAGCGAAUGAUAUUGGAUUAAUCUUACUAUGAUUUAAAAGCAAUCAACCAACCAACCAACCAACCAACCAACCAA